GUUGGGCUUGGUGGCCUUGCUGUACAGAUACAGUUCCAUCGUCCUUAGAGCAAAAAGACUGACUGAAGAAUGCAGCCUAUGAAGGGGAUUUGAAGUGCGAGCCUCCAACAUGGCUGUGGUUCUGCCAGCAAGAGCAGGGUAUGUGGCUUGAAACAUUGUCCACCUGAUGUUUGCUUUUGCUUUUAAGACAGAUGCCAACACGGAAGCUAACAGUUUCUGACCUCAUAUGUAAACAACAGGCCAUUUCAGGGUAGCUUGCAGCUAUGCGUUAUAGUUGGGGAUGUUAGAGGGUCAUGCAGCACGGUCCUGGCAGCUGCCAGGAAGGAGAUGCCAGCUGGGGAGCUGAGGAUGGGGUCCAGGGCAGUGUGGACACUUGCCAUUCUCUGCAUAUAACGAGUAAGGUGGGUCUGGCAUCUUCUCGACACUGAACUAAAGCUACGUACACGGUCUUGGAAAUGCAGGAGGUGGUGGCACAUGGGCGUUUUCAUCUUAUGCAUGUGGUGCCUGUGGUGAGCAGAAGAGUGUGCCAGAUCCACAGGCGUGAGCUGCCAUGUGGGUCCCCGAAACAGAAUCCUCUGCAAGAACAAGUGCUCUUGACCACUGAGAUUCCCCCAGCCCUUCCUACCCGGGUCUUCGUGCCUGCCUGCAUUGUCUCAGUCCCAUCUGAUCUCAGCAGUGACCGCCGUCUCCGUCUUUAAGGGAGUGUUUGAAGACACUGUGCUGUGGGAAGAAGUUUCCAUGUGGAGCUUUUUCGGAGAAGGACCAGAGCUUGUGACGAGCCUCCAUGUAGUCAUCACCUGAUGGCACAUCUUCUCUUCGGGUCUUGGCAGGAAGAGAGCAAUGCCUUCCUGUCUCCUUGAUGACGUAUCAGCCGUGUCAGCCCCCCACCAGUGAGAGAAAAGGCCUGUGGGAUAUACCCAUCUGCAAGGGUUAACUGAGACACCAUGAGGAUAAAUGUUCCCUAGGCCUCAGCCAGCUGGAUCCCGUGAUCCAGAGCCUGGUGCUGGCACAGCCAGCAAACAAAGAUGCUUUGUUCAUGUACGAGAAUAAACACUUCCCCUGGAUAUUUACUCCCGGGCUCA
rnacentral:lncRNA from 1 species